GACGUAGGGCGCGAGCGUUGUCCGGAUUUAUUGGGCGUAAAGAGCUCGUAGGCGGCUUGUCGCGUCGUCCGUGAAAACCUGCAGCUCAACUGCAGGCUUGCGGUCGAUACGGGCAGGCUGGAGUUCGGUAGGGGAGACUGGAAUUCCUGGUGUAGCGGUGAAAUGCGCAGAUAUCAGGAGGAACACCGGUGGCGAAGGCGGCAUCCUGGACCGACAUUGACGCUGAACGGCGAAAGCUAGGGGAGCAAACGGG
rnacentral:rRNA from 1 species